rnacentral:rRNA from 1 species
UACGUAGGGAGCAAGCGUUAUCCGGAUUUAUUGGGUGUAAAGGGUGCGUAGACGGGAAAUUAAGUUAGUUGUGAAAUCCCUCGGCUUAACUGAGGAACUGCAACUAAAACUGAUUUUCUUGAGUGCUGGAGAGAAAAGUGGAAUUCCUAGUGCAGCGGUGAAAUGCGUAGAUGUUAGGAGGAACACCAGUGGCGAAGGCGACUUUCUGGACAGUAACUGACGUUGAGGCACGAAAGUGUGGGGAGCAAACAGG